rnacentral:rRNA from 1 species
AAGACCUUGCGCUUUUGGAGCGGCCGAUGCCUGAUUAGCUUGUUGGUAAGGUAAAAGCUUACCAAGGCUUCGAUCAGUAGCUGGUCUGAGAGGACGACCAGCCACACUGGGACUGAGACACGGCCCAGACUCCUACGGGAGGCAGCAGUGGGGAAUUUUGGACAAUGGGGGCAACCCUGAUCCAGCCAUGCCGCGUGAGUGAAGAAGGCCUUCGGGUUGCAAAGCUCUUUCAGCCGGAACGAAACGGUUACGGUUAAUACCCGUGACUACUGACGGUACCGGAAGAAGAAGCACCGGCUAACUACGUGCCAGCAGCCGCGGUAAUACGUAGGGUGCGAGCGUUAAUCGGAAUUACUGGGCGUAAAGCGUGCGCAGGUGGUUUUGUAAGUCAGAUGUGAAAGCCCCGGGCUCAACCUGGGAACU